CAGCAGCCGCGGGAAUACGUAGGGUGCGAGCGUUAAUCGGAAUUACUGGGCGUAAAGCGUGCGCAGGCGGUUGUGUAAGACAGGUGUGAAAUCCCCGGGCUUAACCUGGGAACUGCGCUUGUGACUGCACAGCUAGAGUAUGGCAGAGGGGGGUGGAAUUCCACGUGUAGCAGUGAAAUGCGUAGAGAUGUGGAGGAACACCGAUGGCGAGGGCAGCCCCCUGGGCCAAUACUGACGCUCAUGCGCGAAAGCGUGGGGAGCAAACAGGAUUAGAUACCCCCGUAGUCCCUGUCUCUUAUAC
rnacentral:rRNA from 1 species